UCAGCAUUGUCUGCAGGGGGGAGGGGUCCUGAUCGGCUGACUGUGGAUCACCGGCUCCAGGAAGGGGGUGCCUCGUGGACAUCUCGGUGUCCCCCACACCCUGCACUUCACAGACACACACCCUCUUCCCGGCGCCAGGACAAAUCCCACUCAGAGAUGUGUCCCCGUGGGGUUAAAACGACACGAGGCCCUCAUACCAGGGAGCUCCGCCACCGCAUCCCCAGGAUUGGACACAUACAUGAAAAGUCCCACGGUCCCUGCCACCAACCCUCGAGACAGACAGCAGGCUCCAGCCCCUCUCUUAUCCCAGGCUCAGCAGUUCUGGAUACUUCUUGGGUAGCAGCACUGUCCAGGGACGAGAUGAUGCAUCCUGAAGCAGACAGGCAGGGCCAGGAUGUCCUGGCGCCUGUGUCCUCAGCCUGUGGUCCGGUGACCUCCCCAGCCUGUAAAGCCGAGUCACGUCUGAGAAGGAACUUGGUUUUCUCUCAUUUGGAUAUUCAUUGGCCAGACAUGUGUCCACACUGCAGCCGGCAGGGUCCCUGCCUCAGGUGUUGCAACUUCACGCAUUAAUGAGGCAAAUAUUAACCAAAUGCCUCCCACACUAUGUAUUAGACGCCAGGAAGACAUCAGUGAACAAAACAGAUUUUGAAUUUCCCUUUCUUCAUGGGACUUACGUUCUCAUGGUGUGGGGUGAGGUACAGGAAAGAAGCAAUCAGUAGCUAGGUUGCGAGGUAUCUUAAAUGAUAAAUGACGUGGAAGUUAGUAGGAUCUGCAGGGUGGGGUGCUGCAGGGUGGAGGGGGCAGGGAAUUUCACCUUAACUAGGGAGCUCCAGGAAGGCUCAUGGAGAAGGUGCCACCAGAGCUGAUAUAGGAGGUGAGCAUCAGGAAAGGAACAUUCUGGUCAGGGGGAACAGCCAGGACAGAGAGUGACACCUUGGCCACCACCUGGUGUGUUUGAGGAACAAGGGGACCCGUGGCAUGAGACCGGUGAGUCAGGGAAGUAGUAAUUAGGGAGACCAGCAGGCCAGGUGUGGAGUCGUCCUGGCAAGUGAUAACGGGAGGAGAGUGGCUCCAAACCAGCUGGUGAUAAGGGCUGGCUUUCGUUUGGGUCCUUGAAGCCCUUAUAGUUUAGGAAUGUCUUCUUUAAGGAAAAAAUAAAAUAAAAUUACAAAUACGAAAUUAAAGCACGGGGUUUUGGAAAGGCAAGCAAGGGACCCUGAAGCUUGGACUCCUUAGCUUCCUGCUGAUGAAGCAGAGGACGUGGGGCCUGGGCUUGGGAUCACCCCAGAGCAUCCCACUCACCCCAAGCUAGCAUCCCUCCCACCCCCCUUUCCUCCCCUACAGUGCUGCCCUUCUGUGACUUUUUUCCCAUUCCAGACUUACUGGCCUUCCAUGUCAACCAGAGAUUGCCUACAUAGAAAUCGGGACGGAGAGGAGUCGAGUCCACAGCGUGUCCCAGCCUGGCCAGCCCACAGGGACAACACCAACAGUGAGGGAAGAGAAAUCAGGAGGACAAGGCAUACACCCGGAAAGGAGGCUGGGGGUCCCCCUCCAGGCCCCCCACUGUGAGCUUUCGGGGUGGCAGGGAGGGGCCGGGCCCCACAGACCCGAGCGUGGGACUCUCUUGAGCUGGCUGCAUGAGCCCCACCCCAGGGGCCCAGAGUCUGCUUUGGAAAGCUGGAAGGGGCCGGGGGGCCGAGUGGAGCAGGCCGGAGAGGUAAGGGCAGGCAUUAUGUACAGUCCUCACUACCUUACCAGAGGCAGGGAAGCAGCGUGCAGACCAACAGCCUUUCUUACUUCCACAAGAUGUGGCUGCUGAGGGGCCUCGUAUGCCUUGCUUUCUUCCCCCUUUCUUCUUCCUUCUCUUCCUCCCUCCCUCCUACUUUCUCCAUCACUCUUUUCUCUCUCUUUUGCUCCUGGGAAAGGAUGCCAUCUAAAAGUAGCCAGUGUGUGUACAUUUUUUCCAAUUAAAAAAUCUCGUAAUAAAGUUGCUAGCUGCUAUUUCUGUCAAGGUGGAGACAUUUUUUUCUUUUAAUUUUUUUAAUGUUUAUUUAUUUUUGAGAGAUAGAGCACGAGCAGGGGAGGGGCAGAGA